AGCCAAGUGGUCACGAAAUUCAUUGAUCGAAUCUCAGGGGGAAAUGACCCUUCAUCACCACAUUGGAAGCCAGACCAGUAGCACACUGACUCAGGCAGAAGCAGAUGUAAUUUCUUACAAUACAGAACCUAUAUGGUCUCUGCCGCGAUCAACCGCCUCGUGGCAGACUGCGUCACCGCAAGUCGGCGGAUGAAUGGAUCAUCUGCAAGAGGCUGAUGCUUCUCUGACUGCGCUGACUCACCCGAACUUCAUUCAACACGGUGCUUCAGAACCUUCAGCAAGCUAAUGUAAGUCAGGAAACUCUAAGACAAACAACAGUACACAACAAAAUUCUCUAGACUUCCAUUAGCUUUAUGUGGAUGUCUCCAAGGGUGGGCCUCUGUGGCCUGUGUCCCUCAGCACAUUUCUUCACCCUGGGAAGGCUGCAGAUAUGUGUGCUGGCCACCGUCUCGCUGAUGAGGUCUGAAUUCAGGCUCCGGGAACACCUUCUUCCAAGCUGUUCAUUUACUCUUUAUUUUUUUCCUAGGCCUGCUUCAUCCUAUUUUUCUAUUGUUUCUAUUGUUACGUUCC